rnacentral:rRNA from 1 species
UACGGGGGGAGCAAGCGUUGUUCGGAUUUACUGGGCGUAAAGGGCGCGUAGGCGGCCACCGCAAGUCGAUUGUGAAAUCUCCGGGCUUAACCCGGAAAGGUCAACCGAUACUGCGGGGCUAGAGUGCAGAAGGGGCAACUGGGAAUUCUCGGUGUAGCGGUGAAAUGCGUAGAUAUCGAGAGGAACACCUGCGGCGAAGGCGGGUUGCUGGGCUGACACUGACGCUGAAGUGCGAAAGCUAGGGGAGCGAACGGG